GAUCCAUGGCUCAGGACGAACGCUGGCGGCGUGCCUAAUACAUGCAAGUCGAGCGAAGUUUUUCUGGUGCUUGCACCGGAAAAACUUAGCGGCGAACGGGUGAGUAACACGUAAAGAACCUGCCUCAUAGACUGGGACAACUAUUGGAAACGAUAGCUAAUACCGGAUAACAGCAUUAACUGCAUGGUUGAUGUUUAAAAGUUGGUUAUGCUAACACUAUGAGAUGGCUUUGCGGUGCA
rnacentral:rRNA from 1 species